GUGUUUGCUUCAGCAGCACAUAUACUAAAAUUUGAACCAUACAGAGAAGAUUGACAUGGCCCCUGUGCAAGAAUGACAUGCAAAUUUGUGAAGUGUUACAUAUUUUU